GUCGGACGGGNAUUUGGGAGCUUGCUCCCAAUGAGAGUGGCGCACGGGUGCGUAACACGUAUGUAACCUACCUUUGUCAGGGGGAUAGCCUCUCGAAAGAGAGAUUAAGACCGCAUAACAUUAUUGAAUGGCAUCGUUUAAUAAUCAAAUAUUUAUAGGACAAAGAUGGGCAUGCGGAACAUUAGCUAGUUGGUAGGGUAACGGCCUACCAAGGCUACGAUGUUUAGGGGAUCUGAGAGGAUGGCCCCCCACACUGGUACUGAGACACGGACCAGACUCCUACGGGAGGCAGCAGUAAGGAAUAUUGGUCAAUGGGCGGAAGCCUGAACCAGCCAUGCCGCGUGCAGGAAGACGGCCCUACGGGUUGUAAACUGCUUUUGUACCGGAAUAAACCUUGAUACGUGUAUCAAGCUGAAUGUACGGUAAGAAUAAGGAUCGGCUAACUCCGUGCCAGCAGCCGCGGUAAUACGGAGGAUCCAAGCGUUAUCCGGAUUUAUUGGGUUUAAAGGGUGCGUAGGUGGCUUUUUAAGUCAGGGGUGAAAGACGGUAGCUUAACUAUCGCAGUGCCUUUGAUACUGAAGAGCUUGAAUGAACUAGAGGUAGGCGGAAUGUGACAAGUAGCGGUGAAAUGCAUAGAUAUGUCACAGAACACCGAUUGCGAAGGCAGCUUACUAUGGUUUUAUUGACACUGAGGCACGAA
rnacentral:rRNA from 1 species